rnacentral:rRNA from 1 species
UACGUAGGGGGCAAGCGUUGUCCGGAAUCAUUGGGCGUAAAGCGCGUGUAGGCGGCUCGGUAAGUCAGCUGUGAAAGUCCAGGGCUCAACCCUGGAAUGCCGGUUGAUACUGUCGAGCUCGAGUCCGGAAGAGGUGAGUGGAAUUCCUGGUGUAGCGGUGAAAUGCGCAGAUAGUCAGGAGGAACACCAAUGGCGAAGGCAGCUCACUGGGACGGUACUGACGCUGAGACGCGAAAGCGU